rnacentral:rRNA from 1 species
GACGUAGGGGGCAAGCGUUGUCCGGAUUUAUUGGGCGUAAAGAGCGUGUAGGCGGCCAUACAGGUCAGCUGUGAAAACUCGAGGCUCAACCUCGAGACGUCGGUUGAAACCGUAUGGCUAGAGUCCGGAAGAGGAGAGUGGAAUUCCUGGUGUAGCGGUGAAAUGCGCAGAUAUCAGGAGGAACACCGAUGGCGAAGGCAGGUCUCUGGGCAUUAACUGACGCUGAGGAGCGAAAGCAUGGGGAGCGAACAGG